rnacentral:lncRNA from 1 species
GUUCUAUUUUAUUAUUAAUCAUUGUUGUUAAUGCCUUAUUGUGUCUAAUUUAUAAAUUAAAUUUUAUCAUAGGUAUAUACAGUAUACAAGUAUAAUGUUUGCUAUUAUCUGUGGUGUCAGAUAUCCACAGAUGAGUUUGAAACCUAUCCCUUGCAGAUAUAUUAUAUACAAUGCAGAUAUGUAUAUUAUGACAUAUAAUGGAAUUUUUAUUAAUAUACAGUUGUUAAAUCAAAUUCAAACACUGUUCCAAAAAUCAAUAAUUAAAAAAUUGGAAUUAUUUCAAUGCAAUGUACUGUACAAUAUUUUUACUGACAAAAUGGUAUAUAUAUGACAUAAAUAAUAAUAAAUUUUUUGUAUUAAAAACUGAAAAGUUUAAGACUUCAUUCUAGCUACAUUCAAAUUAUUAAAAUUCCAUAAAUUAUUUGUGCA